GCUCGUAGUUGGAUUUCGGGUGGGUUCUAGCGGUCCGCCUAUGGUGAGUACUGCUAUGGCCUUCCUUUCUGUCGGGGACGGGCUUCUGGGCUUCACUGUCCGGGACUCGGAGUCGACGUGGUUACUUUGAGUAAAUUAGAGUGUUCAAAGCAGGCUUACGCCAGAAUACUUUAGCAUGGAAUAACACGAUAGGACUCUGGCCUAUCUUGUUGGUCUGUAGGACCGGAGUAAUGAUUAAGAGGGACAGUCGGGGGCAUUCGUAUUUCAUUGUCAGAGGUGAAAUUCUUGGAUUUAUGAAAGACGAACUACU
rnacentral:rRNA from 2 species